UGGAUUGAAAACAAUAAUCUUGUCCAUUUUUUUUACUAUUAGAAACGACAAUUUCCAACAGAAUUAUUUAGCAUUAAAUGAACAUGAUGAAUACAAACGGGCGUAAUUUUUUGGGGCCGGGUUUCCAUGUCUGACCGGAAUGUCUGUUUCGCCGAACUGAUAUAUUGAAUACUUUUUUCAAAACCAGACUGCAACCUGCCUACUAGGUGUGGCCUUUGUGUCUCCAUUUGUCGACCGGCAUUCAUAAAUUCGUUGUCAUUUCAGACUCAUUCGUAGCCUUUUGGUUGAUUUGGAACCCCUUAUACUUCUCUUGUUUGGGUGAAACUUUUCAACGAAACAUUUGGCUAGACAUUGCUUGUUUGUAUUUUAACUCGUGUCGGUCGUUUUGUAAAUUUCAUUGAAUAGCCUGGCGCAUAUUUUGCUUACAAAAAGAAAUCUGUAAGUUUAUCAUAAUUUAACAUACAACACACGAUAAUUUGCCAUGUCUAUGUUUUACUGACAAGUCCCACAUCAAAUAUAUCAGUACAUAGCUU
rnacentral:lncRNA from 1 species